GAUGAACGCUGGCGGCGUGCCUAAUACAUGCAAGUCGAGCGAACGGACGAGAAGCUUGCUUCUCUGAUGUUAGCGGCGGACGGGUGAGUAACACGUGGAUAACCUACCUAUAAGACUGGGAUAACUUCGGGAAACCGGAGCUAAUACCGGAUAAUAUUUUGAACCGCAUGGUUCAAAAGUGAAAGACGGUCUUGCUGUCACUUAUAGAUGGAUCCGCGCUGCAUUAGCUAGUUGGUAAGGUAACGGCUUACCAAGGCAACGAUGCAUAGCCGACCUGAGAGGGUGAUCGGCCACGCUGGAACUGAGACACGGUCCAGACUCCUACGGGAGGCAGCAGUAGGGAAUCUUCCGCAAUGGGCGAAAGCCUGACGGAGCAACGCCGCGUGAGUGAUGAAGGUCUUCGGAUCGUAAAACUCUGUUAUUAGGGAAGAACAUAUGUGUAAGUAACUGUGCACAUCUUGACGGUACCUAAUCAGAAAGCCACGGCUAACUA
rnacentral:rRNA from 1 species